CCUANGGGCGGCAGCAACUGGGAAUCGUGCACAAUGGGCGAAAGCCUGAUGCCGCGACGCCGCGUGAGGGAUUAAGGCCUUCGGGUUGUAAACCUCUUUUGCCAUAACUGAAAGGUUAUGGAGAAUAAGCACCUGCUAACUCUGUGCCAGCAGCCGCGGUAAUACAGAGGGUGCAAGCGUUAUCCGGAUUUAUUGGGCGUAAAGCGUUUCGUAGGUGGUUUGGAAAGUUACACUUCAAAGACUGGGGCUUAACUUCAGGAAGGGGUGUAAUACUACUAGACUAGAAGUAUUUCGGGGCUUACUGGAACUGUUGGUGUAGGGGUGAAAUCCUUUGAUAUCAACAGGAACACCAAGGGCGAAGGCGGGUAGCUAGAAAUUACUUGACACUGAGGAACGACAGCUAGGGGAGCGAAAGGGAUUAGAUACCCCUNUANUC
rnacentral:rRNA from 1 species